rnacentral:ncRNA from 2 species
ACCAGAGGCAUUGUCGGCGGUUUUCCCAGGCGCAAGCCGGGAGAUUAAAAGGGAACGACGGAAGCGACAGGCGUCCAAGCCUGAUGCAAGCCGUGGCUGUCCCCGCAACUGUGAGCGGCGAGUCGGCGCCAGAAAGCCACUGACCGGAAAUCCUUGGGAUCCCGGUCGGGAAGGCGGUGCCGGAUGACGACCCGCGAGCCAGGAGACCUGCCUCCGACAGCGUCACUCU